GACGAACGCUGGCGGUGUGCUUCACACAUGCAAGUCGAACGGAGUAGCAAUACUCAGUGGCGGACGGGUGAGUAACACGUGGGAAUCUACCAUUAGGUGGGGAAUAACAGGCCGAAAGGACUGCUAAUGCCGCAUAUGUAGGCAUCUCGACAGAGAUGUUUAUGAAAGGAGUAAUCCGCCUUUUGAUGAGCCCGCGUCCGAUUAGCUAGUUGGUAGGGUAAAAGCCUACCAAGGCGACGAUCGGUAGGUGGUCUGAGAGGAUGAUCACCCAUAAUGGGACUGAGACACGGCCCAUACUCCUACGGGAGGCAGCAGUGGGGAAUUUUACGCAAUGGGGGAAACCCUGACGUAGCGACACCGCGUGAGCGAAGAAGCCCUUUGGGGUGUAAAGCUCUGUCAACAGGAACGAAACAAAUGACGGUACCUGUGGAGGAAGCAUCGGCUAACUACGUGCCAGCAGCCGCGGUAAGACGUAGGAUGCAAGCGUUGUCCGGAUUUAUUGGGCGUAAAGAGUUCGUAGGCGGUUUGUUAAGUCUGAUGUUAAAGACCGGGGCUCAACCUCGGAAAUGCAUUGGAUACUGGCAGACUGGAGUGCAGUAGAGGCUAGUGGAAUUCCCAGU
rnacentral:rRNA from 1 species